CCUACGGGAGGCAGCAGUGAGGAAUAUUGGUCAAUGGCCGCAGGCCUGAACCAGCCAAGUCGCGUGAAGGAUGACAGUCCUAUGGGUUUUAAACCUCUUUUGUAAGGGAGCAAAGUGCGCCACGUGUGGCGUUUUGCGAGUACCUUAAGAAAAAGCAUCGGCUAACUCCGUGCCAGCAGCCGCGGUAAUACGGAGGAUGCGAGCGUUAUCCGGAUUUAUUGGGUUAAAAGGGUGCGCAGGCGGAAGCUCAAGUCAGCGGUAAAAUUGAGAGGCUCAACCUCUUCGAGCCGUUGAAACUGGGGGACUUGAGUGAGCGAGAGGUAGGUGGAAUGCGUGGUGUAGCGGUGAAAUGCAUAGAGAUCACGCAGAACUCCGAUCGCGAAGGCAGCAUACCGGAGCAAAACUGACGCUCAUGCACGAAAGUGUGGGUAUCGAACAGGAUUAGAUACCCCUGUAGUC
rnacentral:rRNA from 1 species